CCGCCUCCUCCUCCUCCCCUCUGCCUCGCCCCGCCGCCUCCUCGCCGCACGACGGUCUCGCCUCGCCAGCAACCCCGCCGGUCUUCCCUAGAUAAACUCUGCCGCUGCCAUCCCCAUGUCCUAGCGCAGAUCUAGACGGGAGCUAGAGGGGCAUGCUGGACACGAUGCGGGAGCGGGCAUAUCAUAGAGGACCGAGAUCCAGUGCAUCUACGUGCCCGCUGUCAUUGUUGUCCCCCGUGCUUGGCUCCCACACUCGCUCCGGGUAGGCGCUCGCAGCUCGCCUACUGCUCGGCUGCUCUAGGUACUUGACGGACUCAGUUAAAGCACAACGUCAGGCUGCAGCAGAAGCUUGAGGAAUGCAGGGGCUAAUGAUAGUACUCAUCAACCAAAAUUACCGGCGUUGCCAACCAUGCUUUGAACUUUCGGAGAUCAAGCUGUACGGUUGUACAAUGAAGAUUUUUGAUGCAGUUUAAGGAUUCAAGUGGCGAUUGCAACCCAAAAUGUUGCAAAGAAUCUGCUACCAGAGGCUUCAUUAUGCACAUCUUUUCUUUUUACAAAAUGAAGUCUGAUCUGCUGUCAUCACAUCAACACGUAUGCCUACAUCACCAAUGUUUGUACAGCGACAUUUAUUCACAGACAAAUGAAGAUAUUCUAAGGUUAGAAUUCAACACCUGGUUUGUAUCGUAGUUGGGUGACAGCAGAUUGCACAGUGGCCUCUCGGCAGUGUGAAAAUCCAGCAGAAGAAAUCACCUGAUCAUAUAUUUGAUUAUACUUCUGAUUGC